GCAAAAUUCCAAAAUUUGUUAAUUCCAAAAUUUGUUUGGCAAGUGGUAUGACUUUGUCUUUACCAUGCUUCGGACCAAAUUACCAGUGUUUGAAAUAAUGUAGAUUUUUUAUUGUUUUUGUAAUUUGCAAAAUAUUCAUACUUUAGUAAGCACUGUAAUAAAUUGCAGUUAAAAAUUUUGCCAACCUUGUCAUAAUAAUAAACAAAGUAGACUCGCAUAUGCACGCCUGAGCCACAGAAUAAAGACACACAAAAGGUCAACUCAGCCAACCACUGCCACGUCAUGAUUCACAGUGAUUCAUCAUCAAAAUGUUGAUGCCAUGGUCCUAGCCAGUGCGCUUAUGCAAGGCGUUCACGCCCUGGACGUCCGCCAUUUUAAAUAUUAUCAAGGGGGUUAUUGUUAAGGGACCGGUCAUUAUUUAUGGAAGGGGGAGGGGAAUUUUUCUUUUCUAAAUUUUCUAAAUUGAAAGCCCCCCUCUCUUAAAAGAGCAGAAAUUUAAUGAUGA